AUUUUUGAAACCUUUUCAUUUGCCAAAAUCUUCGAAUCUCGAUCUUCUUUCUAUCUCCCAUCUUAUUUCCAUAUUCUUCUCAUUUUCUUGUGCGUAUUAUUGUAUUUUGAGGAGGUAAUGAUUUCUGAACUGGGAAAAAGGCCGAUGCUUAGAGAUUCCUCAUUUGGGGAUGAUUAUGAGAAAGAGAUUGGAGCUUUGCUUGGAGAGCAGCGGCGACGGCAAGAGGAAGCUGAUGAGCUCAAGAAAGAGCUUAACUUGUACCGAAGCGGCUCCGUUCUGUGGACUGUUCCUUUAGCACCGCUGCCGGAGGGCUUUUCAGCGGCGGAGGUGGGUUUGGUGGAGGCAAUAAAGGAAAUGGGUUUGGUUGUGAUGAUGAGGAGUUUAGGAAACUUUUGUAGUUUUUGUCCAGGGCCCCGUUAAAAUGUUGGCUGAUGAUCUUGAUGCUGAAGAAGCCACUCAUGUACCAGGGAAUGACAAUGUGGUGAGAAGUUAUGGUUAGCCGUUGGUGUUGUUCAUUACAUAGUCCAAAUUCAUUCUUGCUUUUGGGUUUACUAACUUUAGCAUCAUUAUUACUCUAGUAGCAGGCCACUUAUCCGCUUAGCUUUCCAUUUAAUAGUUUCGCACAUAUUUUGUUAGUCCUGGACUACAUGCUCUGAUU